UUCUCACAACAGCCAAUUGGAUGCCAAUGAAAAUUCACAAAGAGAACAAGAUGUGGAUUUCCAGCUAUCCAGAUUCUGAUUUUCAAGAAUAGCCAACUGGGUGCCAAUGAAAAGAUGACAACAUGUUGUGGUUGCAAGCUGCCCAGAGUCUGGUUUUCAAGAUCUGCAGGUUAGAAGUCCUAGACAGAUAUCAGCAAGGCUUCAAAGGAUAAACCUGCUGCAUUGCCAAUUUACUGUAUAUGUG